AAUCUCUGGAGAGUUCCCAUUAAGGGACGCCGAAGGUGUAAAGCAGUAGACAGGCUGCCGAUCUCUCAGGCAAAUGGACAGAGCA
rnacentral:ncRNA from 1 species